AUCUCACUCUGACUGGUUAAAAAGAAAGAAAAAAAAAAUCUGUUAAUAUCUGAUACGUCCCCCAUGGAGGGGACCACAUAUUAAACAGAUUUUUGGAACAGGGAGCCGGAAGUGCCCCUUCGGCUCCGUCGCAUCGACCCGGUAUUGCAGUGCUUCUGGGAACGGUGCAGCUCUA
rnacentral:snRNA from 1 species